GGGGCUGAGGAGGGGCGGGUGGAAGCAGGGAGCGUCCCCGGAGGGCACAGCACAUGCAAAGCCCCCGGAGUUGUGGGUGAGGUGCCCGCUGCGUGCCCAGGGCCAGGUGCUACCAAGACAAAAGCCCUGGUUCCCGGGUGAGGAGGCUCAGACCAGAAGCGCCAGCGGCUCCGAAACCCACGGUGUCACCUGCACCAGGGCCUGGGGCUGGGGGGAUGCCUUCUCUACUCAACCAGCUGCCAGGCCUUCCUUCCCGUUUAUUUCUAACCACUGAACUGUGCCAAGCUCAAAGCCCCCCCCCAACCCGGAAAACCAGGGCUGAGGGGCAUCAGUGCUGCUCCUUCCAGCAACAACAGAGACGUCUCGGUGCCACACGGAGCCGAGAAACCAGACACGACCAGGGUCUAGGACCGUCCAUGGUGCUCGAGAUGAAAGGACGGGCUCCCCUCGCGGGCAGGGCUGCUCAAGAGUGACAGCCUUUUCUACAUCCCGCUGGGGCGCCCUGCAGGGCCCAUCAGAACCCGGACUGAAGUCGAAGAUCUCUGCGACUCACUGUGUGCAAACUGGGCCUCAACCUCAGACACGCCCCGAAAAAUAGAACCCCCACCCCAGAGAGUCCAUCCUCGCUCCUCACAACCAAACGCAGCGUCCGAGCCCAGAGUCCACGGUGACCUGCCGGCACCUACCUGCCUCCUCCAGGCUGGGGAAGUGCUGGAAAUUCAGGUCAGCGGACAGCAGGACAUGGAGCACGGGCUCCUGCGGGACAGAGAGAGGUCAGCGCCGGGCAGGGACACCAUGCUGUGGCCACGGGGCAGCCCACCCAGCGCCCACAGGCGAGCACGGUCUCUCUCACCGUCCCCAGGUGGGUACCACUCCCCCCUCAGGGAAACGGAGUACAGACCAGGCCCCCGGGGACAGGGACGGUGUUAAGAGAGAUUUUUAGGCCUGGCUGGCAUGGCUCACUGGUUGAGCAUUGAUGUAUGAACCGGGAGGUCAUGGUUCAAUUCCAGGUCAGGGCACAUGCCCC